AAGCAGAGGAAAGAAGCAGAGACACGACAGGGAGGAGCGAGAGAUGCAUACUAGCAUCGACAACAAUGGGAUGAUUUUGAUGGCGAUAGAUGGCACGGAAGAGAAGUCACAGUUGUAGCACCGGAAGCGGCCAGCAACGGUCUUGGUGCGAUGAUUCUGUAUGCUCUACUUUUGUAAGUAAGUAUUCUUUGUCUGAUGUGGAGCUGUUGAUGCA